CGAGGUAUCCGUAAGGGAGGCAAAACCCCCUUACAAGGAGAAGACGCAAUGCGGAGUGAACAAUAAGUAACGAAGCUGGUGAGCUAGCUGCCAAGGAAAGCCGCUAUUGUUUUGUAUGUGCCCGUACCGUAAACCGACACAGGUGGAUGAGGAGAGAAUCCUAAGGCCGGCGGGAGAAGUGUUGUUAAGGAACUCGGCAAAAUGACUCCGUAACUUCGGGAGAAGGAGUGCCACAGAGAUGUGGCCGCAGAGAAAUGGCCCAAGCAACUGUUUAGCAAAAACACAGGUCUAUGCAAAACCGAAAGGUGAGGUAUAUGGGCUGACGCCUGCCCGGUGCUGGAAGGUUAAGAGGAGAGCUUAGCGCAAGCGAAGGUUUGAAUUUAAGCCCCAGUAAACGGCGGCCGUAACGAUAACGGUCCUAAGGUAGCGAAAUUCCUUGUCGGGUAAGUUCCGACCCGCACGAAAGGCGUAAUGAUUUGGGCACUGUCUCGACAACACACCCGGUGAAAUUGAAAUACCAGUGAAGAUGCUGGUUACCUGCGCCAGGACGGAAAGACCCCAUGGAGCUUUACUCCAGUUUGAUACUGGGAUUCGGUACUGUCUGUACAGGAUAGGUGGGAAGCUAGGAAAUGAUGACGCCAGUUGUCAUGGAGCUGACCUUGGGAUACCACCCUUACAGUACUGGGUUUCUAACCUGCAGCCGUGACCCGGCUGGGGGACAAUGUCUGACGGGGAGUUUGACUGGGGCGGUCGCCUCCGAAAGGGUAUCGGAGGCGCUCAAAGGUUCCCUCAGAAUGGUCGGAAACCAUUCGAAGAGUGCAAAGGCAGAAGGGAGCUUGACUGCGACACCGACGGGUGGAGCAGGUACGAAAGUAGGACUUAGUGAUCCGGUGGUAUAACGUGGGAUUGCCAUCGCUCAAUGGAUAAAAGCUACCCUGGGAUAACAGGCUUAUCACUCCCAAGAGUUCACAUCGACGGAGUGGUUUGGCACCUCGAUGUCGGCUCAUCGCAUCCUGGAGCUGUAGCAGGUUCCAAGGGUUGGGCUGUUCGCCCAUUAAAGCGGUACGCGAGCUGGGUUCAGAACGACGUGAGACAGUUCGGUCCCUAUCCGGCGUGGGCGUAGGAUAUUUGAGAGGAGCUGUCCUUAGUACGAGAGGACCGGGAUGGACGGACCGCUGGUGUAUCUGUUGUUGACCAACAGCAUGGCAGAGUAGCCAAGUCCGGCAGGGAUAAACGCUGAAGGCAUCUAAGCGUGAAGCCCCCCUCAAGAUUAGAUAUCCCAUUCUUUAAAGAAAUAAGACCCCUUGAAGACUACGAGGUUGAUAGGUCUGAGGUGUAAGUGCGGUAACGCAUUCAGCUGACAGAUACUAAUAGGUCGAAGACUUAUCA
rnacentral:rRNA from 1 species